ACUGCUCGCAUCCACCGUUCGUUCAAAAACCCACGGAGAGGACCGAAGGGGGAGAGGGGGGUGAGCCUCAAAUCUCGCCGCCGCCUCGUUUCGCGACCCCUCUCUUCCCCGAACAAGAAACCCUAGCGCCGCCGCUCGCCGGCGAUGGAGGCGCCGGACGAGGAGGCCGGACUGGGGCUCCCGGAGGACGAGCGGCUUCUGGAGGUCACCAUCAUCUCCGCGCAGGGGCUGAAGCCGCCUUCUGGACUUCGGCGGCGGUUGCAGGCGUACGCCGUGGCGUGGGUUGACACGGCGCACAGGCUCCAGACGCAACCCGACCGCUCUGGCGGCCUCGAUCCGGCUUGGCACGAGCGGUUCCUCUUCCGCGUGCACGAAGCCGCGCUCGCCGAGGAUUCCCGCGCUGCCGUCACCGUCGAGAUCUACGCCUCACCGAACGGGGCCUGGCACAUCGGCGGGGACUCCCUGAUCGGAUCAGCGCGGUUCCUCCUCGGCGACAACUGCCUCCUGUCUCGCCCCGUUGGGUCCCCAGCCAUGUUCGCGGUCGGCGUCCGACGCCCCUCCGGCCGCGUCCACGGACUCCUCAAUGUGGCCGCUAGCCUGGUCGCUGCGCCGCCCUCUCCGGCGGCCUCCCACGCCCUCAGCCUCUCCCCCGCCGUCUCUCUCAGUGGCCUACCCCCUGCCGUUGCCAUCAGCAGCCUCUCCACGGCGCCCAUCUCAGGCCGCGUGCUGCGCGUCCUCAACCGCGCGCACCCAACACCCCCACCUUCUCCUAAGGUGCUCACGCCCAAGAAGCUGCAGACCUCGGUGAAGCCUAACAAUAAGGGAUCAGACAACCAGCAGGUUGCGGUGAAGCCAAAUAACAAACGCGAAGACGAUGCCAGCGAUCAGGAGGGGGAGGAUGAGAACACGUACAUGGGCGGGGUGAUGUUUUGCGGGCCUUGUGUCUUACCAUUCCCGAGGAAGAUUCACACCAGUCCCUCUGACGAGAACCUGCAGGCCUUCGCUGGCAUCUUCUCUAGCGGUGUCGGCAUUGCCAGACGGAGCCCGAGCCCUCGGCACUGAGCUUAUGCAAAACAGGUGUGCUAAGGGCCUACAAUACUAACAAUUGAAUAUGAAGAGCAACCAUCAAAUAUGCCUCUUUCUACUGUAUGCCUAAUGGUGGAAGAAUGACUCCCAUUUUCAUUAGCUUUUCAAGUGCAAUUUGGAGAAGAAUACGAGGAGCUGGUGAGCAUCAAGCACCUCACAAACAGUUCCAAUAUUCCAUUCUGCACUUGGCAUGUCGAUGUCGAGCUGGAUCCUUUACUUUAGCAGUUUAGCUGCUCAUUUGCAAAGAUCACAUUUGGGGACUAGUUAUCGUCUCCUGGUUCUUCUGUCCUUGAUGCUUUUGCAUAUACGGUAUAUAUGUACGUAGAUCCCAUGGGACGUAGUAAGAUAUAUCUGGUUGCUUUGGGCA